rnacentral:tRNA from 1 species
GCCUUCGUGGUGUAGUGGUUUGCAUGUUGGGCUUGUAUUCCAGAGGUCCGUGGUUCGAUUCCCGGCGAAGGCG